rnacentral:rRNA from 1 species
AAUCAACGCUGGCGGCGUGCCUAACACAUGCAAGUCGAACGCGAAAGCCCCUUCGGGGGCAAGUAGAGUGGCGUCCGGGUGAGUAACACGUGGGUAAUCUACCUCCGGGUGGGGAAUAACUCGCCGAAAGGCGGGCUAAUACCGCAUAAUGCAGCGGCACCGAAUGGUGAUUAGUUGUUAAAGCGGGGGACCUUAGGGCCUCGCGUCUGGAGAGGAGCCUGCGGCAGAUUAGCUUGUUGGAGGGUAAUGGCCUACCAAGGCUGCGAUCUGUAGCUGGUCUGAGAGGACGGCCAGCCACACUGGCACUGACACACGGGCCAGACUCCUACGGGAGGCAGCAGUGGGGAAUCUUGCGCAAUGGGCGAAAGCCUGACGCAGCGACGCC